UAGAGUUUGGUGUAGAUUGGGUAGCACGAAGAUUUUUGGGUUCUUAAGAGUAGGUUCAAUCCCUAUAACUCUAG
rnacentral:tRNA from 1 species